AGAGUUUGAUUAUGGCUCAGAUUGAACGCUGGCGGCAGGCUUAACACAUGCAAGUCGAGCGGUAACACAAAAGGGCUUGCUCUUUUGGUGACAAGCGGCGGACGGGUGAGUAAUGUCUGGGAAACUGCCUAAUGGUGGGGGAUAACUACUGGAAACGGUAGCUAAUACCGCAUAAUGUCGAAAAGACCAAAGUGGGGGACCUUAUGGCCUCACGCCAUCAGAUGUGCCCAGAUGGGAUUAGCUAGUAGGUAAGGUAAUGGCUCACCUAGGCAACGAUCCCUAGCUGGUCUGAGAGGACGGCCAGCCACACUGGAACUGAGAUACGGUCCAGACUCCUACGGGAGGCAGCAGUGGGGAAUAUUGCACAAUGGGCGAAAGCCUGAUGCAGCCAUGUCGCGUGUGUGAAGAAGGCCUUCGGGUUGUAAAGCACUUUCAGCGAGAAAGAAAAGUAAAGUACUAAUAAUACUUUAUAUUGACGUUACUCGCAUAAGAAGCACCGGCUAACUCCGUGCCAGCAGCCGCGGUAAUACGGAGGGUGCAAGCGUUAAUCGGAAUUACUGGGCGUAAAGAGCACGCAGGCGGCCUGUUAAGUCAGAUGUGAAAUCCCCGCGCUUAACGUGGGAACGGCAUUUGAAACUGGCAAGCUAGAGUUUUGUAGAGGGAGGUAGAAUUCCAGGUGUAGCGGUGAAAUGCGUAGAGAUCUGGAGGAAUACCGGUGGCGAAGGCGGCCUCCUGGACAAAAACUGACGCUCAGGUGCGAAAGCGUGGGGAGCAAACAGGAUUAGAUACCCUGGUAGUCCACGCUGUAAACGAUGUCGAUUUGGAGGUUGUGUCCGUGAGAUAUGACUUCCGAAGCUAACGCGUUAAAUCGACCGCCUGGGGAGUACGGCCGCAAGGUUAAAACUCAAAUGAAUUGACGGGGGCCCGCACAAGCGGUGGAGCAUGUGGUUUAAUUCGAUGCAACGCGAAGAACCUUACCUACUCUUGACAUCCAGAGAAUCAUUUAGAGAUAAAUGAGUGCCUUCGGGAGCUCUGAGACAGGUGCUGCAUGGCUGUCGUCAGCUCGUGUUGUGAAAUGUUGGGUUAAGUCCCGCAACGAGCGCAACCCUUAUCCUUUGUUGCCAGCAUAUAAAGGUGGGAACUCAAAGGAGACUGCCGGUGAUAAACCGGAGGAAGGUGGGGAUGACGUCAAGUCAUCAUGGCCCUUACGAGUAGGGCUACACACGUGCUACAAUGGUACAUACAAAGAGCAGCAACCUCGCAAGAGUCAGCGAACCUCAUAAAAUGUAUCGUAGUCCGGAUUGGAGUCUGCAACUCGACUCCAUGAAGUCGGAAUCGCUAGUAAUCGUAGAUCAGAAUGCUACGGUGAAUACGUUCCCGGGCCUUGUACACACCGCCCGUCACACCAUGGGAGUGGGCUGCAAAAGAAGUAGGUAGUUUAACCUACGGGAGGGCGCUUACCACUUUGUGGUUCAUAACUGGGGUGAAGUCGUAACAAGGUAACC
rnacentral:rRNA from 1 species